AACGCACAUUGCGCCCCCUGGCAUUCCGGGGGGCAUGCCUGUUCGAGCGUCAUUACAACCCUCAAGCUCUGCUUGGUAUUGGGCGCCGUCCUCUCUGCGGACGCGCCUUAAAGACCUCGGCGGUGGCUGUUCAGCCCUCAAGCGUAGUAGAAUACACCUCGCUUUGGAGCGGUUGGCGUCGCCCGCCGGACGAACCUUCUGAACUUUUCUCAAGGUUGACCUCGGAUCAGGUAGGGAUACCCGCUGAACUUAA
rnacentral:misc_RNA from 1 species